UACGGGGGGGGCAAGCGUUGUUCGGAAUUACUGGGCGUAAAGGGCUCGUAGGCGGCCAACUAAGUCAGACGUGAAAUCCCUCGGCUUAACCGGGGAACUGCGUCUGAUACUGGAUGGCUUGAGUUUGGGAGAGGGAUGCGGAAUUCCAGGUGUAGCGGUGAAAUGCGUAGAUAUCGGGAGGAACACCUGUGGCGAAAGCGGCGCACUGGACCACUUCUGACGCUGAGGCGCGAAAGCUAGGGGAGCAAACAGG
rnacentral:rRNA from 1 species